GAAAGGGUACAAGAAGGGUGGGAUGCAGCAAGGCAUGUAGGGAGCUCUGCAGUCACAGGUGCAUAGGGCGUGGCUCGGUGGCGACACUUGAUGCCACUGCCAUGACACUUUGCCAUGCUGCCUGGGCUUAUGUUCAGGGCAGAACACUGAAAGGGAGCGCUGGGAGAAAAUGUCUGCAAUAGAAGAAGAAAUGUCGCUUUUAUCCCCGCCUCCUCAUCCCAGGUGUUCUAAGAAAGGAAAACUGGUUGUUUGGAGUCAUGCAAAGGCUCAGGCAGUGCUGCCUCCCUUCCACCCACUGGAUACUUCUGGAGGAUUACAGCCGUUGGUGGGAGUCACAGUUCCUGUAAUUUUCCAUUGCCUCCGGGCCCAGGGUGCUCAAGCACUGCCUUGGUAUUGGAGUAGCAAAAGUCAAGUACCGUUUGGUUCAGUUGGGGAGCCUGCUUGAUGGAACUCAGUGCUUCAGAGCUGAUGAGCCAGAGAGAUUGGUCUGCACAUCCCUACUCUGCCAGCUUGCCUACAGAAAUUUGUUGUAAAGACCUGAAGCUCGGUUUCCUGUUCUGUUAGAGUGGGGUCAUAGCAGUACCUACACGAGACUUAACUGUGAAGAGAGCUAGGGUCAAGUGUGGCUUGUAGUAAAUACUCCUGAAUGGGAGAGGAGCGCAGCUUUGUAGACCGGUAGGAGUGGUUUAAGGUGUUAGGAUAGUAGGAGUGGUUUAAGGUGUUAGGAUAGUAGGAGUGGUUUAAGGUGUUAGAAUAGUAGGAGUGGUUUAAGGUGUUAGGAUAGUACAGGAGGACGGCCCAGGGGUGGGGCAGGAAGAGCCACCAGGAGGUGUGAGCUGGGGGAAGAACAAAGCAGUAUUCCAGCUAAGGAAAUAAUCUCACAAAGACCAGGAAGCAAGCAGGAGAGUGCAUCCCACAGUGGAGAAUACCUCUGCAUCUUUCAAAGGCCAGCUUGUCACUACUAGCUUUGAUCAAAGCAACUUUUGGGGGAGGGGGAUAGAUAAAUACAUAAAAACAAAUAAACAAUGUGUAUGCUCA